GACGAACGCUGGCGGCGUGCUUAACACAUGCAAGUCGAACGGAAAGUCCCUGCUUUGGUGGGGUGCUCGAGUUGCGAACUGGUGAGUAACACUUGAGUAACCUGCCCUUGACUUUGGGAUAACUUCAUGAAACUUGGGCUAAUAGCGGGUAGGAGCUCCUGCUUCAUGGUGGGGGUUGGAAGGUUUCGGCGGUUGGGAAUGGACUCGCGGCUUAUCAGCUUGUUGGUUAGGUAGUGGCUUACCAAGGCUUUGACGGGUAGCCGGGCUGGGAGGGUGACCGGAUCAAUUGGGCCUGAGCUACGGCACAGACUAGUCCGGGAGGCAGCGGAGGAGAAUAGUGCAUAAUGGGAGGAGGCAUGAUGUAGCAAAGCAGCGUGCGGGAUGACGGCAUUCCGGUUGUAAUCCGCUUUCGCCUGUGACGAAGCGUGAGUGACAGUAAUGGGUAAAGAAGCACCGGCUAACUCCGUG
rnacentral:rRNA from 1 species